rnacentral:rRNA from 1 species
AGUGAACGCUGGCGGUAGGCCUAACACAUGCAAGUCGAACGGCAGCACAGUAAGAGCUUGCUCUUACGGGUGGCGAGUGGCGGACGGGUGAGGAAUACAUCGGAAUCUACUUUUUCGUGGGGGAUAACGUAGGGAAACUUACGCUAAUACCGCAUACGACCUACGGGUGAAAGCGGGGGAUCUUCGGACCUUGCGCGAUUGAAUGAGCCGAUGUCGGAUUAGCUAGUUGGCGGGGUAAAGGCCCACCAAGGCGACGAUCCGUAGCUGGUCUGAGAGGAUGAUCAGCCACACUGGAACUGGGACACAGUCCAGACUCCUACGGGAGGCAGCAGUGGGGAAUAUUAGACAAUGGGCGCAAGCCUGAUCCAGCCAUACCGCGUGGGUGAAGAAGGCCUUCGGGUUGUAAAGCCCUUUUGUUGGGAAAGAAAAGCAGCAGGUUAAUACCCCGCUGUUCUGGCGGUACCCAAAGAAUAAGCACCGGCUAACUUCGUG